rnacentral:miRNA from 1 species
UGGGGCUUUUUUUCUCCGUGCA